CUACGGGACGCUGCAGUGAGGAAUAUUGCACAAUGGGGGGAACCCUGAUGCAGCAACGCCGCGUGGAGGAUGACGCAUUUCGGUGUGUAAACUCCUUUUAUAUGUCAAGAAAAUGACGGUAGCAUAUGAAUAAGCACCGGCUAACUCCGUGCCAGCAGCCGCGGUAAUACGGAGGGUGCAAGCGUUACUCGGAAUCACUGGGCGUAAAGGACGCGUAGGCGGGUUGGAAAGUCAGGUGUGAAAUCCUACAGCUUAACUGUAGAACUGCACUUGAAACUUCUAAGCUAGAGUAUGGGAGGGGGAGAUGGAAUUAGUGGUGUAGGGGUAAUAUCCGUAGAUAUCACUAGGAAUACCUAAAGCGAAGGCGAUCUCCUGGAACAUUACUGACGCUAAGGCGUGAAAGCGUGGGGAGCAAACAGGAUUAGAUACCCUCGUAGUC
rnacentral:rRNA from 1 species